rnacentral:rRNA from 1 species
UAUUGACAAUGAAGAGUUUGAUCCUGGCUCAGGAUGAACGCUAGCGAUAGGCUUAACACAUGCAAGUCGAGGGGCAGCAUGGUCUUAGCUUGCUAAGACUGAUGGCGACCGGCGCACGGGUGCGUAACGCGUAUGCAACUUGCCUCACAGAGGGGGAUAACCCGUCGAAAGACGGACUAAUACCGCGUACACUCUAUGUUGGGCAUCCAAUGU